rnacentral:rRNA from 1 species
UACGUAGGGGGCAAGCGUUGUCCGGAUUUAUUGGGCGUAAAGCGCUCGCAGGUGGUUCGUCGCGUCGUGCGUGAAAGACCCCGGCUCAACUGGGGAGUGUCGUGCGAUACGGGCGGACUGGAGGCCAGUAGGGGGAUGCGGAAUUCCCGGUGAGUGGUGAAAUGCGUAGAUAUCGGGAGAACACCAGUGGCGAAGGCGACUACCUGGCCUGUUCUUGACGCUG